CCUACGGGAGGCAGCAGUGGGGAAUAUUGCACAAUGGCGGAAACCCUGAUGCAGCAACGCCGCGUGAAGGAAGACGGUUCUCGGAUUGUUAACUUCUGUUCUUAGUGAAGAAUAAUGACGAUAGCUAAGGAGCAAGCCACGGCUUAAUACGUGCCAGCAGCCGCGGUAAUACGUAGGUGGCAAGCGUUGUCCGGAAUUACUGGGUAGAAAGGGAGCGCAGGCGGGAAGCCAACUCAGCUGUGAAAACUACGGGCUUAACUUGUAGACUGCAGUUGAAACUGGUUUUCUUGAGUGAAGUAGAGGUAGGCGGAAUUCGGGGUGUAGCGGUGAAAUGCGUAGAUAUUCGGAGGAACACCGGUGGCGAAGGCGGCCAACUGGGCUUUAACUGACGCUGAGGCUCGAAAGUGUGGGGAGCGAACAGGAUUAGAUACCCUAGUAGUC
rnacentral:rRNA from 1 species